CAGUAGCCACGGUAAUACGUAGGUGGCAAGCGUUGUCCGGAAUUAUUGGGCGUAAAGGGCUCGCAGGCGGUUUCUUAGGUCUGAUGUGAAAGCCCCCGGCUCAACCGGGGAGGGUCAUUGGAAACUGGGAAACUUGAGUGCAGAAGAGGAGAGUGGAAUUCCACGUGUAGCGGUGAAAUGCGUAGAGAUGUGGAGGAACACCAGUGGCGAAGGCGACUCUCUGGUCUGUAACUGACGCUGAGGAGCGAAAGCGUGGGGAGCGAACAGGAUUAGAUACCCCUGUAGUCCCUGUCUCUUAUAC
rnacentral:rRNA from 1 species